rnacentral:lncRNA from 1 species
CUUGGGUGUUUAGUUUGAAUGAAUUCAAGAUGUAAUGGUUGUGAAGGUUGAAGAUUUUGUCUUUCAAAAUGUGUAAGACCAUCAGGGAUAUUGGAGGACUCAGAUUUAGAAACUGAUAUAUCUGAAUUGAAAGGCGUAUGGUAAUAUCAAUUUGGCUUAAAAGGAAAAAUAUAUUCAUGAUGGACAAUAUUUCUAGAUAGAAUAAUUUCUUUCUUAUUG